GCUGGCGGCACGCCUAACACAUGCAAGUCGAACGAAGUAGCAAUACUUAGUGGCGAACGGGUGAGUAUAAUGUGGGUAUCUGCCUUUUGGUUUGGAAUAACACGGGGAAACUUGUGCUAAUACUGGAUAAGCCUUCACAGGGAAAGCUUUAGCGCCAAAAGAUGAGCCCGCACUUGAUUAGCUAGUUGGUAAGGUAAUGGCUUACCAAGGCUACGAUCAAUAGCUGAUCUGAGAGGAUGAUCAGCCACAUUGGGACUGAGACACGGCCCAAACUCCUACGGGAGGCAGCAGUGGGGAAUCUUGCACAAUGGGGGAAACCCUGAUGCAGCGAUGCCGCGUGAGUGAAGAAGGCCCUUGGGUUGUAAAGCUCUUUCGUCGGGGAAGAAAAUGACUGUACCCGAAUAAGAAGGUCCGGCUAACUUCGUGCCAGCAGCCGCGGUAAUACGAAGGGACCUAGCGUAGUUCGGAAUUACUGGGCUUAAAGAGCUCGUAGGUGGUUAGAAAAGUUGGUGGUGAAAUCCCAAGGCUUAACCUUGGAACUGCCAUCAAAACUUUUUGACUAGAGUAUGAUAGAGGAAAGUGGAAUUUCUAGUGUAGAGGUGAAAUUCGUAGAUAUUAGAAAGAACACCAACUGCGAAGGCAACUUUCUGGAUCAUUACUGACACUGAGGAGCGAAAGCAUGGGUAGCGAAGAGGAUUAGAUACCCUCGUAGUCCAUGCCGUAAACGAUGUGUGCUAGACGUUGGAAAUUUAGUUUUCAGUGUCGCAGCAAAAGCGUUAAGCACACCGCCUGGGGAGUACGACCGCAAGUAAACUCAAUGA
rnacentral:rRNA from 1 species